AGUGAACGCUGGCGGUAGGCCUAACACAUGCAAGUCGAACGGCAGCACAGUAAUGGCUUUCUCUGACGGGUGGCGAGUGGCGGACGGGGGAGGAAUACAUCGGAAUCUACUUUUUCGUGGGGGAGAACGUAGGGAAACUUACGCUAAUACCGCAUACGACCUACGGGUGAAAUCAGGGGAUCUUCGGACCUUGCGCGGAUGAAUGAGCCGAUGUCGGAUUAGCUAGUUGGCGGGGUAAAGGCCCACCAAGGCGACGAUCCGUAGCUGGUCUGAGAGGAUGAUCAGCCACACUGGAACUGAGACACGGUCCAGACUCCUACGGGAGGCAGAAGUGGGGAAUAUUGGACAAUGGGCGCAAGCCUGAUCCAGCCAUACCGCGUGGGUGAAGAAGGCCUUCGGGUUGUAAAGCCCUUUUGUUGGGAAAGAACAGCAGCAGGUUAAUACAACGCUGUUCUGACGGUACCCAAAGAAUAAGCACCGGCUAACUUCGUG
rnacentral:rRNA from 1 species